rnacentral:lncRNA from 1 species
GCCCGCCGGUCGCAGAGCUGUCAGCAAGCUCCAAACCGCGGCUGCCGCCCGGAGGGAAGCAGACGGGGAGUCGGUGGCGGCCGCCGAGUCCGCAUGCGCAGGCUGCAAAGGCCCUUUUGGGCCGGUCCCGCCGCGCUAGGUUGGCGAGUGGGACUAUUUGAUCCUUUCCAGGUUCGCCAGCGUGGUGUUACGAGAGGAAAGCGCAGCCGCAGCGUACGAAUGGGAAGGCCAAACACGGUCCCGGGGAGUCUGAGGGAAGCUGCAGGGCGCCUGGAAUUGGGGUCUCGAGUGAGCCGGUAAAAACCGCCUCCCGCUGAGCGUCCCGGAACAAAUACUGUCUGAACUGAGCCGUAAGCAAGAAACGGUCAGGAGAAGCUGGGGCGAUCUGAUGAUUAGAACAUUUCAGGGACUACCAGAGAGAAGUGCGUAAUUGCUCUAAGGCAGGUAGGUAAUUGGCCUGGAAACUUGGGAACGCCCCGCCCCCCACCCCGACUUUCAGCAAACCACCGUGCCCAGGAAAAAGAGCGAUUGUGGAAGACCCUGUGAAGAAGAGACCAGGAAGGCACUGUGGCUUAAGAGAGCAAGGCGUUCCUGAAUGCAGCCAACAUCAACUGGUAAACAAAAAACUGUGAGAACGGAUCCUGAAUCUUGCGCUUACCAGGGGAAAUUCAGGAGAGAUAUGAACCUGAGCAAGAUGAGGUUGAAGUUACUCAAUGCGGCAUUAAGCCUGUUCACGGCCACUUCCUCCGGCGUCACCAACACACACACUGUACACCAGCAGUAUUUUUACACGGGGAAACAUUUCUAGGCUGGGCGCAGUGGCUCACACCUGUAAUGCUAGCGCUUUGGGAAGCCAAGAUGGGAGGAUUAUUUGAGGCCGGGAGUUUGCGACCAGCCUGAGCAACAUAGCAGGAUCCUGUCUCUGCAAAAAAAUUUAAAACUAGCCAGGUGCGGUGGCUCGUGCCUGUUGCCCUAGCUACUCAGGGAGACUGAGGCAGAGGAUUGCUUCAACCCAGGAGUUUGAGGUUGCAGUGAGCUAAGAUCAUGUCACUGCACUCCAGACUGAGCAACAGAGUGACACUUUAUAAAAAAAAAAAAAAAAAAAACUAGGUUUUUGAACUUGCUUAAUCAAAGAAUUUGUUUAAACUUUUAAGAUGCGUUGUCAGAUUAUCUUUCCCUAAAGGAAUAAUUUCUAUUCCUAUCAGCUGUUUAUAUUCCUGCCUAGUCACCAUCACUAGAUAUAAUUGAUUUUCAGUUUUUGCCAAUCUGAGGAACAAAAAAUGACCCUUAUAUGUCAAAUUUACAGUUUAUUUUCAAGGAUUUUGGGAUUCUGAUCAAAUUUUGGUACCUUCAUAUAAAAUUUGGCUUUUAUAUCACAUCUUGUCUUCUCUGCUUUCCACCCUCUUUUAUGUUGUUUUUUGGCUUCUGGCCGCAUGACUAUAAUCUCCGCUUUUGUAUUCACAUCACCUUCUGUCAUUUUUGACCUUGCCUCCGUCUUACAAGGAUCCUUGUAAUUAAUUAUAUUGGGCCUGCUGAGAUAAUCCAGGAUAUUCUUCCUACUCAAGUUCCUCAAUUUAAUCACAUCUGCAAAAACUGCCUUUUGCUAUAGAACAAUGACAGGAGAUUAGAAUGUAAACAUAUUUGGGGGACCGUUAUUCAGCUUAACACAAUACGUCCCCCUUCAUCAGGUGGAGCUUAUUUUCCCUCCUUCCUUGAGUGUGGGCUGGACUUAGUGACUAACUUCCAAAGAACAGAGUAUGGAAAGGGAGGAGGAGAGUAACUUCAUAGUACAGAAACCUGGAAACACUGUCUUGGCCAGGUGGUCAAAGUUAAUAUCAUCAAGUCAUGUUGAUAGCAUAUACUCCCAAUAUACUGUGAUGAGAAGGGCAAUUCACCUCUGUGGUAUUCUCAAAACCUAUAACCCAAUCUAGUCUAAACAUGAAAAAAAAAAAAUCAAACUAAAAUUGAAGGACAUUCUAUAAAACACCUGAUCAGUAUUCCUCAAAACUAUCAACGUCGUGGGGAACAAGGAAAGAUUGAAAUACUGUAACAGACCAGAGGAAACUAAGGAAACUUAAUUGAUGACUGAAUGCAGUGUGCUGUGUUGAACUGGAUCCUAGAGAAAAUAGACAUUAGUGGAAAAACUACUGAAAUAUGAAUAGUCUCAAGUUUAAUAGUAGUGUACCAUUAUUACUUUCUUAGUUUUGACAAAUGUACCAUGGUUAUGCAAGAUGCUAACAAUACAGAAAAAUAAGGGGUAUUUGGGACCUCCCUGUAUUAUCCUUAUGCCCUUACUUGAAAGUUGUUUCAGCAAUAGAAGUUUAUUUAAAAUAUUGUGAAGGGCCUGAGUAUUUUUAAAUCAACUGCAGUGACUCUCUUUUGUGUAUUUGUGUACAGAUGAGUUUUUCUGCAUCGAAUUUUAUCUCCUUUCCUUGCAGAAGAAAGAGAAUUAGCCCUUUACAGAGAUAACAGUUGCCUAAGCCAGCUCUUUUCUCCUCUUUUUGAUGUUCUUCUUUUUCUCUCAGUUUGAAAAUUGUAGGUUAUUUGAGUUUUUAAAAUGUCUAUUGCUACAUACACAUUCUAGUUAUAUUCUAGUCCAAACAAUCUAGUAAAAUAUCUAAAAGAAAAAUGCUGUUCACUGUAUUUUUUAUUUUUAAAAUGUGAGUGAGUGCAUUUAAAUAAUAGGUUGUGUUAUUAUAAUUAUGAGCUAAAAGUUUUGAAGUGUGAUUUAAAGAGUCUUUAACAUUACAAUUCUGGACUACAAAGUGUAAAAAUUGUAUUUUAAAAGAUUCAUGUACUGUUUCCGAUAAAUAGAUGAAUCUUUGAUCACUGGAAUGUGUUAAUACUAAUUUAAAGGCAGCUAUAUAUCUUCUGAUUUUAUAAGAAAUUAACUAAGUACAAUAUUAUAUUUUAUAUACAAUGGGUAAACUCUUCAAAAUUUAAGCUUUCUAAUUUCUAAAUUAAGUGACAUAAUGACAUGUCUUUAAAUAGGUUUGAUCUUAUAAAAUUUUUGUAAUAACACAAAUAUAAGAACUUAUUAUUUUCCAGAUUCUCACAUCUAAAUCCAAACAUAUAAACACAAUUGCAUUAAAUAUAAAUGUUAUAAACACAAUAAUUAAACGACAUAAUCAAAAUGGAUUUUGAAAAUAACAUGAGGAAGACAGAGCAAGAUAGCCAAAUAGAAGCCUCCACCGAUCAUCAUCCCCACAGGAACACCAACUUUGACAACUAUUUACACAAAAAAAGCACCUUCAUAAGAACCAAAAAUCAGGCGAACAAUCACAGUACCUGGUUUUAACUGCAUAUUGCUGACAGAGGCGUUGAAGAGAGUAGGAAAGGCAGUCUUGAAUUGCCAACAUCACCCCUCCCCUAUCCCCUGGCAGUGACUGUGUGGCACUGAGAGAGAAUUUGUACAUUUGUGGAAGGAGAAAGGACAGUAAUUAUGGGCCUUUGCCUUGAAACUUAGUGCUGCCAACACCCAUGGAGGGAGCAUUUAGAUCAGCUUUAGCCAGAGGGGAAUCGUCCGUUCCAGCAGUCAGAACUUCAGUUUUGGCAAACCUCACCACCGUGGGCUAAAGAGCUCUGAGGUUUAAAAUAAACUUGAAAGGUAACCUAGGCCACAAGCACUGCAACUCCUAGGCAAGUCCUCUUGCUGUGCUGGGCUUAGAGCCAAUGGACUUGGGGGCUAUGUGACCUAGUGAGACACUAGGCAGGGUGGCCAAUGCGGCGUGCUUGUAUCACCUCUCCCCCAACUUCAGGCAAUACAGCUAGCAGCUCCAAAAGGGACAACACCACCCCCACCUUCCACUUGAGGAAAGGAGAGGGAAUAGUAAAGACUUGUUUUGCAACUUGGAUACCAGCUCAGCCACAAUAGGAUAGAGUAUUGAGCAGGGUCAUGAGGCCCCCAUUGCAGGCCCUAGCUCCCAGACAACAUACCUAGACAUACCCUGGGCCAGAGGGGAACCCACUAUCUUAAAGGGAAGUACCCAGUCCUGGCAGGAUUCAUCACCUGCUGAUUAAAGGGCCCUUGGGUCCUGAAUAAUCAGCAGCGGUAACCAGGUAAUACAUGCUGUGGGCCUUGGGUGAGACUCUGAGGUAUACUGGCUGCAGGUGUGACCCAGCAUAUUCACAGCUAUGGGUGGCUAUGAGGAAAGACUCCAUCUGUUUAAGAAAAGGAGAGGGAAGAAUAAAGGAGACUUUGUCUUAUAGCUGAGGUGCCAGCUCAACUACAGUGGGGAAGUGAACCAAGUGGGCUCUUCGGGUCCCUGAUUCCAGAGUUGGCUCUUGGAUGGCAUUUCUGGCCCUGGGCCAGAGGGGAGCCCACUGCCCUGAAAGGUGAAUUCCAGGCAUGGCAGCAUUGACCACAAGCUGACUACAAAGCCCUUAGGUCUUAAGUGAACAUCAGCAGAAUCAUGGCAAUACUCCCAGUGUCUUGUGAUGUUGAUGGACAUGGGGAGAGACUCCUCUGCCUGGUGAAAGAGGAGGGAAGACUAGAAAGGACUUCGUCUUAUGGUUUCAGUGCUAGCUUACCCUCAGUAGAAUAGAGCACCGGGUAGAUUUCUAAGGUUUCUGACUCCAGGUUCUGGAGUUACUGCUGCUGACUCCUAAACAGCAUCUCUGAACCCACCCGGGGCUCUGAGGAACUCGCCAUCCUGAAGAGAAAGACAGAAAGCUAGCUGGCUUCACUGCCUGCUAAUUGUAGAGCCCUAGGAACUUCAGCUAACAUAGGUAGUAGCAGGUAGUGGUUACAGUGGGCCUUUGGCAUAACCCAUAGCUGUGCUGGCUUCAGGUCUGACCAUCCACAGUCCCAGUGAUGGUGGCCACGGAGGUACUUGUGUCACCCCUCCCCCGGCUACAGGUAGUGUUGCUGGACGUCAGGGACCCCGAAUGGAGGGACCAGCUGGAGCUGCAGCAGAGGAAUAUAAAUUGUGAAGAUUUCAUGGACAUUUAUCAGUUCCCAAAUAAUACUUUUAUAAUUUCUUAUGCCUGUCUUUAAUCUCUUAAUCCUGUUAUCUUCGUAAACUGAGGAUGUACAUCACCUCAGGACCAUUGUGACAAUUGUGUACAAAUUGAUUGUAAAACGUGUGUUUGAACAAUAUGAAAUCAGUGCACCUUGAAAAAGAACAGAAUAACCACGAUUUUUAGGGAACAAGGGAAGACAACAGUAAGGGCUGACUGCCUGCAGGGUUGGGCAAAAAGAGCCAUAUUUUUCUUCUUGCAGAGAGCCUAUAAAUGGACGUGCAAGUAGGAGAGAUAUCACUAAAUUCUUUUCCUAGCAAAGAAUAUUAAUAUUAAUACCCUGGGAAAGGAAUGCAUUCCUGGGGGAAGGUCUAUAAACGGCCGCUCUGGGAAUGUCUGUCCUAUGCAGUUGAGGUAAGGACUGAGAUACGCCCUGGUCUCCUGCAGUACCCUGAGGCUUACUAGGAUGGGGAAAGACCCAGGCCUGGUAAGACCGGUUCUCUGCUCUCGAACCCUGUUUUCUGUUAUUUAAGAUGUUUAUCAAGACAAUACAUGCACCACUGAACAUAGACCCUUAUCAGUAGUUCUCCUUUUUGCCCUUUGAAGCAUGUGAUCUACUCCCUGUUCUUACACCCCCUCGCCUUUUAAAACACUUAAUAAAAAACUUGACGGUUUGAGGCCCAGCGGGGCAUCACGGUCCUACCAAUAUGUGAUGUCACCCCCAGCAGCCAAGCUGUAAAAUUCCUCUCUUUGUAAUCUUUCUCUAUUUCUCAGCUGGCCGACACUUAGGGAAAAUAGAAAGAACCUACAUUGAAAUAUUGGGGGCGGUUCCCCCGAUAAGGUAGCUCAACAGAGAGAGAUAGAGAGAGAGAGACAGACUGAUUCUGUUUGGGCAAAAACAAGGAAAAAGAACAAGAGUCUCUGCCCAGUAAUCCAGAUAAUUCUUUCGGGUAUUAUCCAAGACCACCAAAGCAGUACCUCUAUGUGUAUGAAAGAACUACAAUAUUACUGCAUUUAGGGGCCCACUAAUGCAGAUAUGGCUGCAGUGACCAAAAACUUAGAUCACAACAUCCAAGCCCAUUUGAAUACCUGGAAUGCCUUCCCAAGAAGGAUGACUACAAACAAGCCCUACUGUGAAGACUACAAUAAAUACCUAACUCUUCAAUGCCCAGACACCAACAAACAUCCACAAGCACCAAGUCAUCCAGGAAAGCAUGACCUCAGCAAACAAACUAAACAAGGUACCAGGGGCGAAUCCCAGAGAGACAGAGAUAUGUUACCUUUCAGACAGAGAAUUCAAAAUAGCUGUUUGGAGGAAACUCAAAGAAAUACAAGAUAAUGGAGAGAAGGAACUUAGAAUCCUAUCACAUAAAUUUAACAACGAAAUUGAAAUAAGUGAAAAGCAGAAAUUCUGGAGUUGAAAAAUGCAAUCAACAUACUGAAGGCAUCAGAGUCUCUUAAUAGCAGAAUUGAUCAAGCAGAAGAAAAUAAUAGCUUGAAGACAGGCUGUUUGAAAAUAUACACUCAGAAGAGACAAAAGAAAAAAAGAAUAAAAAAGAAUGAAGCACACCUACAGGAUCUAGAUAAUAGUUUCAAGGGGGAAAAUCUAAGAGUUAUUGGCCCUAAAGAGAUGGUGGUGGGGGGCGGGUAGAAAGUUUGUUCAAAGGGAUAAAAACAGAGAACUUCCCAAAACCUCCCAAACCUAGACAAAAAUAUCAAUACUCAAGUAUAAAAAGAUUAUAGAUCACCAAGCAGAUUUAACCCAAAGACUACCUCAAGGCAUUUAACAGUCAAACUCCCAAUGGUCAAGGAUAAACAAAGGAUCCUAAAAACAGCAAGGGAAAAGAAACAAAUAACAUACAAUGGAGCUUUAAUAUGUCUGGCAGCAGAUUUCUCAGUGGAAACCUUACAGGCAAGGAGAGAGUGGCAUGACACAUUUAAAGUGCUAAAGGAAAAAAAAUGACCUUAGAAUAAUAUAUCCAGUGAAACUAUCCUUGAACCAUGAGGAGAAAUAAAGACUUUCCUGGGAAAAUAAAAUCCAUGGGAUUUCAUGAACACCAUACCAGUCCUACAAGAAAUGCUAAAGGGGGUACUUUAAUCAGAAAGAAAAUGAUGUUGAUGAGCAAAAGAAAUCAUCUGAAGGUACAAAACUCACUGGUAAUAGUAAGUACACAGAAAAACACAGACUAUUAUAAUACUGUAACUGGCAUGUGUAAACUACUCAAGUAGAAAGACUAAAUGAUGAACCAAUAAAAAUAAUGACUACAACAACUUUUCAAGACAUAGUACAGUAAGAUAUAAAUAGAAACAACAAAAAGUUAAAAAGCUGGGGGAUGAAGUUAAGGUGUAGAGUUUUUAUUAGUUUUUGCCUAAAUGUUUGUUUAUGUAAACAGUGUUAUUAUCAGCUUAAAGUAAUGGGUUAUAAGAUAGUAGUUACAAGCCUCAUAGUAACCUCAAAUCAAAAAGCAUAUAACAGAUAUACAAAAAAUAAGCAAGAAAUUAAACCUGCCACCAGAGGAAAUUAUCUUCACUGAAAGAAAGAAAGGAAGGAAAGAAAGGAGGAAUAAAAGGCCACAAAACAACCAGGAAACAAAUAAAAUGGCAGGAGUAAGUUAUUGCAUAUCAAUAAUAACACUGAAUGUGAAUGGACUAAACUCUUCAAUCAAAAGGUAUUGAGUGGCUGAAUGGAUUAAAAAAAAUAAAAACAAGACACAAUGAUCUGUUGCCUACAAGAAAAACACUUCACCUAUAAAGCCACAUAUAGACUGAAAAUAAAGGGAUGGAAAAAGAUAUUUCAUGCAAAUGAAAACCAAAAAAGAGCAGGAAUUGCAUUACUUAUAUCAGAUAAAAUAGAUCUGAAGACAAAAGCCAUAAGAGACAAAGAAGGUCACUAUAUAAUGAUAAAGGAGUCAAUUCAGCAAGAAGAUAUAACACUUGUAAAUAUGCAUGCACCUAACACUGGAGGACCCAGAUGUAUAAAGCAAAUAUUAUUGGAGCUAAGGAGAGAGACAGACCCCAAUACAAUAAUAGCUGGAGACUUCAACACCUCACUUUCAGCACUGGACAGAUCUUCCACACAGAAAAUCAACAAAGAUAUAUCAGACUUAAUCUGCAUCAUAGACCAAAUAAAUGGUCCUAAUAGAUACUUACAGAACAUUUCAUCCAGUGGCUGCAGAAUACACAUUCUAUUCCUCAGCACAUGGAUCAUUCUCAAGGAUAGACCAUAAGUUAGGUAUAAAACAAGUCUUAAAACAUUCAAAAAAUUGAAAUCAUAUCAAGCAUUUUCUCUGACCACAAUGGAAUAAAAUUAGAAAUCAAUAAUGAGGAAUUUUGGAAGCUAUACAAACACAUGGAAGUUAAACAAUAUGCUCCUGAAUGACCAGUGGGUCAAUGAAGAGAUUAAGAAGAACACUGAAAAUUUUCUUGAAACAGACAAUAAUGAAAACACAACAUAUUAAAACCUAUGGGGUACAGUGAUACUAAGAAGGAAGUGUAUAGCUAUAAGUACCUAUAUCAGAAAAGAAGAAAAGCUUCAAAUAAACCAACGUAACAAUGCAUCUUCAAGAACUGGAGCAGUAAGAGCAAACUGAACCCAAAGUUAGUAGAAGAAAUAAUAAAUAUUAGAGCAGAAAUAAAUUGAAAUGAAGAAAGCAACACAAAAUAUCAACAAAAUGAAAAGUUAGUUUCUUUGAAAAGAUAAAAUUGACAAACCUUUAGCCAGACUAGGAAAAAAGGAGCAAAGACCCAAAUAAAUAAAACCAGAGAUGAAACAGGAGAUGUUAUAAGCAUAUACUGGGGAAAUUCAAAGGAUCAUUAGAGGGUACCAUGAACAACUAUGUGCCAAUAAAUUAGAAAACCUAAAAGAAAUGAAAUUUCUACACACAUACAACCUACCAAGAUUGAACCAUGAAGAAAACUAAAACCUGAACAGACCAAUAAUAAGUUACAAGAUCAAAGCCACAAUAAAAAGCCUCCCAGCCAAGAAAAGCCUGGGGCCUGAUGACUUGACUGCUGAAUUCUAUCAAACAUGAAAAGAAGAACUAAUACCAAUCCUAGUCAAACUGUUUCAAAAAAUAGAAGAGGAGGGAAUAUUUUCAAACUCAUUCUGCAAGGCUAGUAUUACCCUGAUACCAAAGCCAGACAAAAACACAUUAAAAAAAGAAAACCACAGGCCAAUAUCUCUGAUUAGUUUCAAUGCAAAAAUCCUCCACAAAAUACUGGCAAACUGAAUUCAACAAUACAUUAUAAAGAUCAUUCAUCAUGACCAAGUGGGAUUUAUCCCAGGGAUGCAAGGAUGGUUCAACAUAUGCAAAUCAAUGAGUGUGAUACAGCAUAUCAACAGAAUAAAGGACAAAAACCAUAUGAUCAUUUCAAUGGAUGCUGAAAAAGCAUUUUAUAAAGUUCGACAUCCCUUCAUGAUAAAAACCCUCAAAAUACUAAGUAUAGAAGGAACAUAGCUCAAAAUAAUAAAAGCCAUAUGACAGACCCAAACUAGUAUCAUACUGAAUGUGGAAAUACUGAAAGCCUUUCCUCUAAGAACUGGAACACAAGGAUGCCCACCAUUAUUCAACAUACUACUGAAAGUUCUAGCUACAGUAAUCAGACAAGAGAAAGAAAGAAAGGGCAUCCAAACUGGAAAAGAAGUGAAAUUAUCCUUGUUUUCAGAUGAUAUCCUAUAUUUUAAAAAACCUAAGGACUCCACCAAAAAACCAUUAGAAUUGAUAAAUUCAGUAAAGUAGCAGAAUAUAAAAUCAACAUACAAAAAUAAGUAGCAUUUCUAAAUGCCAAUAGCAAACAAUCUGAAAAAGAAAUUUUAAAAAAUCUCAUUUACAAUAGCCACAAACAAAAUUAAAUACCUAGGAAUUAGAAGUCAAAGAUCUCUACAAUAAAAACUAUGAAACACUGAUGAAAUAAAUUGAAGAGGAGACACAAAAAAUGAAAAGAUAUUUCAUGUUCAUGGACUGGAAAAAUCAAUAUUGUAAAAAUGUCCAUACUACCCAAAGCAAUUUGCAGAUUCAGUGCAAUCUGUAUCAAAAUACCAAUGACAUCCUUCACAGAAAUAGAAAAAAAAAAUCUAAGAUUUAUAUGGAAUCACAAAGGAACAGAAUAGCCAAAGCUAUCCUAAGCAAAAACAAUGACACUGGAGGAAUCACAUUACCUGACUUCAAAUUAUACUACAGAGCUAUAGGAACCAAAAGAGCAGGGCAUUGGCAUAAAAACACGACGCCUAGACCAAUGGAACAGAAUAGAGAGGCCAGAAACAAAUCCACGCAUGUAUAGUGAACUCGUUUUUGACAAAAGUGCCAAGAACUUACACUGGGGAAAAGACAAUCUCUUCAAUAAAUGAUGCUGAGAAAACCAGAUAUCCUUUGCAGAAGAAUGAAACUUGACUAUUAUCUCUUGCCUUAUAAAAAAACCAAAUAAAAAUGGAUUAAAUACUUAAAUGUAAGACCUUAAACUAUUAAACUACUACAAGAAAACACAGGGGAAACUCUUCAGGACACUGAUCUGGGCAAAAAUUUAUUAAGUAAUACCCUACAAGCACAGGCAACCAAAACAACAAUGGACAAAUUGGAUCAUAUCAAGUUAAAAAAAACUUAUGCACAGCAGAGGAAACAAUCAACAAAGUGAAGAUACAACCACAGAAUGGGAGAAAAUAUUUACAAACUAUUCAUCUGACAAGGAAUUAAAAACCAGAAUAUAUAAGGAGCUACUCAAUAGGGAAAAAUCUAAUAAUCCAAUUUAAAAAUGGGCAGAAGAUUUGAAUAGACAUUUCUCAAAAGAAGACAUACAAAUGGCAAACAGGCAUAUGAAAAUGUGCUCAACAGCACUGAAUAUCAGAGAAAUGCAAAUCAAAACUACAAUGAUAUAUCAUCUCAUCCCAGUUAAAAUGGCUUUUACCCAAAAGUCAGGCAAUAAUAAAUGCCGGCAAGGAUGUAAAGAAAAGGGGACCCUCCUACACUGUUGGUGGGAAUGUAAAUUAGUACAACCACUACCGAGAACUGUGCAUACAAUGGAUCUAGGUUGUACACUACUUAUGAAAAUCUAAUUAAUGCCUGAUGAUCUGAGGUGGAACGGUUUCAUCCCCAAACCAUGCCCUCCCCUUGGAAAAAUUGUCUUCCACGAAACUGAUUCCUGGUGCCAAAAAGGUUGGAGACCUAAAUCACAAAUGCAAAGUCUUUGAAAUAGAAACAAACUUAAGUGUGGUUUAGGAAUAGAGUUUUACAAUGUAAUCUGGGGACAGUUGUGUAACAUGAUGUCAGGAGGUAGGCAGCAACCAGAUCGUGUAGUGCCUUUAAAGCUGUUAAAAGGGGGUUUUAAUCUUAUUCUAUUGAAAAUGGGAAGCCACCAGAGAGUUUUAAGCAAAGGGCUAACAGAUUUAGGGUUGUUUUUUUUUUCCUUUUUUUCCUAACAAAGAAAACUGCAGGCCCAGUUUAUUGCAA